GUUUGACCCCGCACAGCGCACAGCGCCGGUCGGCUGCCCGCCCGCGUUCCAGGCACAGUUUACAAAAGAGAAAUUUAUUUCUGGAGACUGGGAAGUCCAAGAUCAAAGUGCUGGCAGAUCCAGUGUCUGAUGCAGAUUUGGGAUGUGCCUUGCUCCCUGGACCACCUUGACAAGUAAGCAUUCCCUGGGUUGGCUUCCCUCCCUUACCCGCC